GGAGAUUUUUUAGGGAACAUUGGAGAGAGCAGGGAGAGAGUCUUCUAGACCGAAAGAAAUAGAGAGAAAGGAAGGAAAGAAAUAGAAAGCAGGGAAGGAAAGAAAUUCAGCCAGCUUAACCUUUCCCUAGCCUAAAUUUUUAGUUGUUCUCUCUCUAAAAUCCCUUAUUUAGCCCACCUUUUUCUAUACCAUAGUUGAAUUGCUUAUUUUCUCACCGAAAAAAAGAAAAUGCGAAUCAAGCAACCAAAAUGAGUGUCACCCACUGUUGUCCUUCAUUACUAGAGGGUUUAGAGGUGAAGAUAAAUCAAAGAAUUGGGAGAAACAAAACCUACAACUUCAACUUUGAUUAAAUUUUCACCGUAUGGAGGCUGUCAUUGAGUUCACUUGAGCAUCUUCUUUUUCAUCACAAUCAUUAUCUAAUCGAUUUGAUGUUAAGCCAAGCUCACAUACUAGAAGUAAUUGGGUUACUUUUCUUUCUUGUUAGUUUCCCCAUUUUGAUUUAAUCAUACCUUUGGUUGUUUGUCAUUUCUGCUCAUCUAUUUAAAUUUAUUUGGCUAUACAAGGGUUGAAUUUUUCUUUAAGUGUUAUGGUUGAAGGGGUGUUAGUUUCUUAGGUUUGGGUAUUUUGGGGUUCUUCCUGUUGGAAAUUGGUUAGCUUAGGAAACUUUCUCUCCUUCCCCUGUCUUUUAUUCAUCUCAUCAAUAUAUUGCUGCUUAGUAAAACAAAAUCAUCAAAUGUGUUAAUCAUGGAAGAAUGAAACAAUUAAUUAGUAAUUAGGAAAUUGAAAGGUCUAGUUACAUGUUCUCUAUCCAAAGGAUAUUAAACUAAGGGCAUAACUAAAAUAGCCAGGGUGUAGGCUCCAUCAAGUAGAGCUUCUAAUUUUUUAGAGUCUCAAGUAAUUUAUGAUUGAAGAAUGUGAUUUGUUUUCCCAUUCCUAUCCUUAAACACAGCAACUAGAUCAGGCAUAGGGCAGAACUUGAACCAUAGGAGUGGAUUUUUGAAAUUAACAAGUUAACCCUACAUUUGAGAGUGUUGAUGAAAAAAAAAUUAUUAUAUAUUAGCUUUUUUUUUUUUUUUAGUAGCUGCAUACUUGGUUAAUUUCUUUCUCCAAUUCAUUCGGUUUUGUGUCUUUAGAGAACCUUCGUAAUUAAAUAUUUCAUCAACUUUAAUGUUUAUCGCUUUGCUAAGCUUAUUUAGGGAACUAGUGUCUUCUACUAAUGCCUUGCUUGUUUAUGAAUUUAUUUGAACUAUGUUUGCUAAAAAUAGGUAGAGCUGAUGUAUGAAAAUAUGACAGUAAUUCAAAUCAUAUUGUUAUUAUUAUUAUUAUUAUUAUUAUUAUUAUUAUAGAAAAUACAAUGAGUUAGAGGAUGGAUUUUAUUAUUAUUAUUAUUAUUAUUAUUAUUAUUAUUAUUAUUAUUAUUAUUAUUAUUAUUAUUAUUGUGCGUGGAGACUUCAUGGAUGGGCAUCUGUCUUAAUUGAAUUGCUUAUGGAUAAAAUCAUGUUGAAAUUUGUAUUCGAACAAAGGAAAAUGUUGAGUUUUAAAGGGAGAUGCUGUCAAAUUUUUCUAUAUGAAUUUGGAAAUAGUUAAAAGUUUUGUAGUAAAAUUUAUAGCUAGAAAGUACAAUUUAAAAGUAUUAAUUAUAAAUAAUUUAAGAGCUACGUGGAUUUGAUCCUCCAUAGUGCCAAGGGGUUAGAAAGUUUGAGUAGUAAUAUGUAAAUUUCAGGGACUAAAGGAGAUAUUUUGUAAUUAUUUUCUAUUUAUGCAAUUUUGAGGUGUGAUGGCUCAAGUAUAGUGAUAUCUCCUCUUGUCACACCUCAUUGUGUUUCUAAUGCUCUUUAGGGGGGAGUGACUAGUUGACCAGUGCUGGGCUCAAUAGUUACUAGUUGGUGAGUCCCUAUUCCUUCACUCCUUGUAGGUUUCCCCUCUGCCUACAAGUGAUGUAAGGAAUCCUUAUUUCAUUGUAUUGAUUAUGCUAUUUGAAUGAAAUAAGUAGCCCAUUCUUGAUAUAUAUGUGCCUCGUUGUUUAUGAGGCUUGAGAUGCCUGUGCAUAUAUAUUAUUGCCCCCUUUGCUUGAUGUGUUUGUUGUGCUUGUGAUGUUUGCUUAUAUGAGAUGUUUGGAGAGUUUCCCUCAAUUGGCUUGCUAAAGCCCCAUUAUAGUGAAAUGCCCUUUUAAUGUUCAGAUUAUUAUGAGAAUCUCCUGGCUAACUUGUCUUGAAAGAGCUCAAGCCAAGUGCCACACGGUCCCAAGUGAGUGCUAAAACUUGGGCCCGUGACACAUAGGAGGUACGUAGGCAGCCUUUGAAUGCAGUCCAAAGAGGGUAAACUUUGUUUUCUUAUUUAUAUUUUUUUGUUUUGAAUUUCUUUUAUCAUUCAUCUUUUAUGGGUUAUGUUUAGACAGACAAUCAACUUUUGAAUUUUUGUUUGCUAGUAAUAUUGAGGAUUAUAAUAUAAUGCCACUACUGAAUAAAUAUCCUUAAUUGGGUUUUUUCUGAAAUUACAAGCUUUGUACUUGAUUUUAAUUGUUGGUUUCUUAGGCAAACGAUGUUAUAUUCACUUGGACACUUUUACAUUUUACAUAGAUUGAAUAUAUUAGAAAAAAGAAAAUUUAUGUCUUUAGUAGCUAUUAUAUUCAAUUAGUCCUUUCUUCAAAGAAAAUUUGUCACUUUAGUUACAGUUUACCAUGUUCUACUAGUUAGAGGAUAGGGUGUGACACCCACAAUGACAAACGUGACAAUCUCCUGCACUCCCUUGGUUUUUUGAAUCCUCGAGGCCAUUGAUCUAUUCUCCUCCACUCCCACAGACAAAGACCUACGGACUACUUGUGUCUUGCCUCGCAUGCAUGCUCUUUUCUCCCUUGGCCCUCAUUCACUUGUGUCUCGAUUGUAGCAUUUCCUGAUCUGGGGUGGGGUAUGAUUGAAGCUUGCUGGAAUGUUGGUCUGCUCGUUGACGACUUGGUGGUGGAAUGGAAAUAAGGGUUUUUAGAAAUGCCAGGUUUGCCUUGGUGCUCUGUUCUGCAUAAAUGCAACUAUGUAAUUUCAAAUUUUCAUCAAUUCAGUGUAAAUGUAAUUUUAUGAUUUUGAAUAAAUUUUAUGACCUUGAGACUGACUAUGACUAUGAUUUUGAAUCAAUUUUGUAAUUUUAUGAUUUCAAAUUUUCAUCAAUUUUAUGUAAUUUUGAAUAAAUUCUAUGACUCUAAUUGUGAUGUGCUA